rnacentral:misc_RNA from 1 species
ACUGACCAGGCAAUUCUCUCUCAUGGUUCAGACUUGGGCCGAGGUGGGUCCACAGCUGUAACUGCAAUUUUGAUUAAUGGUCGAAGAUUAUGGGUUGCUAACGUUGGGGAUUCUAGAGCUGUAGUUUCAAGAGCGGGUCAGGCAAUUCAAAUGAGUACAGAUCAUGAACCUAACAAUGAACGAGGAAGCAUAGAGGACAGGGGUGGCUUUGUCUCAAACAUGCCA